rfam:Aedes albopictus isolate Foshan contig182238, whole genome shotgun sequence.
CAAACGGUCCUUUUCAGGACCACAGAAAAUCUU